rnacentral:rRNA from 1 species
CACGUAGGGCGCAAGCGUUGUCCGGAAUUAUUGGGCGUAAAGAGCUCGUAGGCGGUUUGUCGCGUCUGCUGUGAAAACUCGGGGCUUAACUCCGGGCCUGCAGUGGGUACGGGCAGACUAGAGUGCGGUAGGGGAGACUGGAAUUCCUGGUGUAGCGGUGAAAUGCGCAGAUAUCAGGAGGAACACCAGUGGCGAGGGCGGAUCUCUGGGCCAUUACUGACGCUGAGGAGCGAAAGCGUGGGGAGCGAACAGG